AUUGAACGCUGGCGGCAUGCCUUACACAUGCAAGUCGAACGGUAGAGGGGGCAACCCCUCGAGAGUGGCGAACGGGUGAGUAAUGCAUCGGAACGUGCCCAGUAGUGGGGGAUAGCCCGGCGAAAGCCGGAUUAAUACCGCAUGAGACCUACGGGUGAAAGGGGGGGAUCGCAAGACCUCUCGCUAUUGGAGCGGCCGAUGUCAGAUUAGGUAGUUGGUGGGGUAAAGGCCUACCAAGCCGACGAUCUGUAGCUGGUCUGAGAGGACGACCAGCCACACUGGGACUGAGACACGGCCCAGACUCCUACGGGAGGCAGCGGUGGGGAAUUUUGGACGAUGGGCGAAAGCCUGAUCCAGCCAUGCCGCGUGCGGGAAGAAGGCCUUCGGGUUGUAAACCGCUUUUGUCAGGGAAGAAAUCCUUUGAGCUAAUACCUCGGGGGGAUGACGGUACCUGAAGAAUAAGCACCGGCUAACUACGUGCCAGCAGCCGCAGUAA
rnacentral:rRNA from 1 species